GACGAACGCUGGCGGCGUGCCUAAUACAUGCAAGUUGAGCGAUGAAGCUUGGUGCUUGCACCAAUUUGAAGAGCAGCGAACGGGUGAGUAACGCGUGGGGAAUCUGCCUUUGAGCGGGGGACAACAUUUGGAAACGAAUGCUAAUACCGCAUAACAACUUUAAACAUAAGUUUUAAGUUUGAAAGAUGCAAUUGCAUCACUCAAAGAUGAUCCCGCGUUGUAUUAGCUAGUUGGUGAGGUAAAGGCUCACCAAGGCGAUGAUACAUAGCCGACCUGAGAGGGUGAUCGGCCACAUUGGGACUGGGACACGGGCCAAACUCCUACGGGAGGCAGCAGUAGGGAAUCUUCGGCAAUGGACGAAAGGCUGGCCGAGCAACGCCGCGUGAGUGAAGAAGGUUUUCGGAUCGUAAAACUCUGUUGGUAGAGAAGAACGUUGGUGGGAGUGGAAAGCUCAUCAAGUGACGGUAACUACCCAGAAAGGGACGGCUAACUACGUG
rnacentral:rRNA from 1 species